UACGAAGGGAGGCUAGCGUUGCUCGGAAUCACUGGGCGUAAAGCGCACGUAGGCGGCUUUCUAAGUCAGGGGUGAAAUCCUGGAGCUCAACUCCAGAACUGCCUUUGAUACUGGGGAGCUCGAGUCCGGAAGAGGUGAGUGGAACUCCGAGUGUAGAGGUGAAAUUCGUAGAUAUUCGGAAGAACACCAGUGGCGAAGGCGGCUCACUGGUCCGGUACUGACGCUGAGGUGCGAAAGCGUGGGGAGCAAACAGG
rnacentral:rRNA from 1 species